UGAAGAGAUAGAUAAUUGAGUCAAGCGAACAGUAGGCACAAUAAGUAAAGUGUGUGAAUCACUGUGAUUUAUAGCGUGUAUUAUAAAGGCUGUUAAGUAAAGAGAC